GGUCCUUCUGUUGGAACCCAUUGGCUGUAAGACACAGUUUCUCUGGCUCCAGGACUCUACUCGCUGCACAGUACAGGUGUUGGUAACUCGGCAACUAGACAAGGAAUCAUGAGCAGGCACUGGGGAGCUCUGCUGGGGCUCCUGUGGGUCCAGGUUUGCUGGGUGAGAGGGCUGGAGGUGGAGCAGAGCCCUUCAGCCCUGAGCCUCCAGGAGGGAGCCGGUGCUGCUCUAAAGUGCAAUUUUUCCCAAGCUGUGAACAGUGUGCAGUGGUUCCGACAGAACCCCGGGGGGGGCAGCCUCACCCGGCUGAUUUCUGUGGCUUCAGGCAUAAAGCAGAGCGGAAGGCUCAACUGCACACUGAACACAAGGGAACGGUCCAGCACCCUCCACAUCACGGCCUCCCAGCUGGAAGACGCAGCCUCCUACCUGUGCGCUGUGGAGACACAGUGCUGCCUGCUGAUCCAGGGCCUGCACGCCAACUGCAGCUGUGCCUGUGCCCCGGCCCCUCCCUGGGGCAUCUGCACCCACAGCAGCCUUGGCACAUUUUCAGAUCUAUGUUACAGCACCUUUUCCCUCCAAAAUGAGACCCAUCAGGGCUGUCAUUUCACUUCCUUUUGUUGCCCUUUUUCUUCCCAGAAAGCCCUUUGCAGGUAAAAAGCUUUACCAUGGAGCCAUUGGAGCAAGUGACGGAGGUGCCCAUAUCCAAUGCCCUGGGAAAGCAGAUCUCCCUGCAGGUAGCAUAUAAAUUAUAUGUAAGUAGUCAAAUGGAAAAGGCUUGAAAAAAUAAUGCUCUAUUGAUGCUUUGAUUUGUAAUUAGUAAUUAUUAAUGCUUUAAUGUUUAAUGUUAUGCCCUCACUGUCUUGAAAUUCAUAGUAAUUUUAUCUUUGUCCUUGUCCUUUCUAAGGGAGUCCCGUGAGUGGGAGGAGUAAGUGCCUGAGCAGAGAGAUGCCUGGGGCAGAAGGACACAGGCAGGAGCGCAUGCAGGCUCGGGGUCUGGGUCAUAGCAGGUGGUGUGUGCUGAACAGCGGGCAGGGCCACCUGGGGUCUGUGCUUGCUUUGGACUAGCUGGGGCUUCGACGUCAGCGAACGGCUGUUGUAUAGCAGUUUUAUUCAUAAUUGCCAACUUGGAAGUAGGCAGGGUGUCUUUCAAUAAGUGAAUGGAUAAAUAAAUGAUGGUCCAUCCAAACAAUGGAAUAUGAUUCAGUGCAAAAAAGAAACGAUGCAUGAGGUCAUGAAGAGAUAGGGGAAUGUUGUAUGCAUUUUACUAAGUGAAAACAGGCCGUCUGAAAACGCUAUAAUGUAUGAUUCCGAUUCUAUGACAUUCUGGAAAAGGCAAAACUCUUGAGGGGGUGAAAGAUGGUGGUUGCCAAGUGUUGAGUGGAGCAGCAGGGGUGAAGAGCACAGAGCACA